AGCUGAGUUUGAUCCUGGCUCAGAUUGAACGCUGGCGGUAUGCCUUACACAUGCAAGUCGAACGGUAGAGGAGCAAUCCUCGAGAGUGGCGAACGGGUGAGUAAUACAUCGGAACGUGCCCAGUCGUUGGGGAUAACGUAGCGAAAGCUACGCUAAUACCGCAUACGACCCGAGGGUGAAAGCGGGGGACUCGCAAGACCUCGCGCGAUUGGAGCGGCUGAUAUCAGAUUAGGUUGUUGGUGAGGUAAAAGCUCACCAAGCCGACGAUCUGUAGCUGGUUUGAGAGAACGACCAGCCACACUGGGGACUGAGACACGGCCCAGACUCCUACGGGAGGCAGCAGUGGGGAAUUUUGGACAAUGGGGCGAAAGCCUGAUCCCAGCAAUGCCGCGUGCAGG
rnacentral:rRNA from 1 species